CGGAGGAUCCAAGCGUUAUCCGGAUUUAUUGGGUUUAAAGGGUGCGUAGGCGGCUUAUUAAGUCAGGGGUGAAAGACGGUGGCUCAACCAUCGCAGUGCCCUUGAUACUGAUGAGCUUGAAUGGACUAGAGGUAGGCGGAAUGUGACAAGUAGCGGUGAAAUGCAUAGAUAUGUCACAGAACGCCGAUUGCGAAGGCAGCUUACUAUGGUUUAAUUGACGCUGAGGCACGAAAGCGUGGGGAUCAAACAGGAUUAGAUACCCUGGUAGUCCACGCCCUAAACGAUGAAUACUCGCUGUUAGCGAUAUACAGUUAGCGGCUAAGCGAAAGCGUUAAGUAUUCCACCUGGGGAGUACGCCCGCAAGGGUG
rnacentral:rRNA from 1 species